AUUGAACGCUGGCGGCAUGCCUUACACAUGCAAGUCGAACGGCAGCACGGGAGCAAUCCUGGUGGCGAGUGGCGAACGGGUGAGUAAUAUAUCGGAACGUGCCCAGUCGUGGGGAUAACGUAGCGAAAGCUACGCUAAUACCGCAUACGAUCUAUGGAUGAAAGCGGGGGAUCGCAAGACCUCGCGCGAUUGGAGCGGCCGAUAUCAGAUUAGGUAGUUGGUGNGGUAAAGGCUCACCAAGCCGACGAUCUGUAGCUGGUCUGAGAGGAUGAUCAGUCACACUGGAACUGAGACACGGCCCAGACUCCUACGGGAGGCAGCA
rnacentral:rRNA from 1 species